GUAUCGAUGGUUACGCCACUUUGAAAGGUUUCCUCAUUCUUUUCUAAAUGGACUUUGUCAACACAGAAAAGUAUUUUAAAUAAUAUACUAGCUCUGGCACUUGCUAUCACAGCACAUUUUAUUUUCUGUGAAUUACUGUUUCAGGCAAAACAGGAAGAAGACAACGACAAGGUGCUGGGCUCAGAGCUCUUCUUCAGGCCCUACCACUUCACCUCUGUGCAGAAGGAGUCUGUGCUGUUCACCACACGCCAAAGGGACGUCGUCACUAGUGAACUGAGACGGGAAUUACCUAGUCUUCUGUCAGCUAACUUCCACGCUACUCCAGGAGGUUUCCCUGUUCUCCAAGGAACGGGACCCGAGGAAGACCUCCAAUUUAGAUUCUCUCUCUGCAUAAUGCCUGGCUGUGGGUCUCUGUACCCUCUCGCGUUUGUUGCUGGAGAAAAGCCUCUCUGAUGAUAACAGGACAAGUUUCCAAAAAUCGAGGCUGGAAUGAUGAACAAAGAGAGCACUGGCAAGCCAAUCAUGCCAGCUGGGAUAACCUUCAGGCU